AGGUGCAGGGCAGGGGCAACUUCAGAGACCCAUGUUGCUUUGCUGCAGGGGACUUGAGGACUGAGAGAGAAUUAUGAUUCACAUACAUGAGCUUGAGGAGGAACCUCUUUGGAGUUUUCUCCUGCCCUACUACUGAUUUUGUAGUCCCUGUUUAGAAGGCUCUGCACAAGAACUUGGCAGACCUCCUAGCUGCCAUGCUAGGACUCUCUGGCAGAGUCCGCGGACACAGACAGGCUCCAAUACAUCUUGGAGCACAGUUCCUCAAGAUGGGAAACCUCGUGGCUCAUCUGGGUCUGUUCAUCAGUGACCCAGGCAAGGACAUCAGCCAGCAGGCCAGAGAGGGGAUUUACUGGCUCUACCAACUGCUGCUACACCAGAAAGGUAGUGUCACCUGAAGAUAAUCAAGCAUCUCUGGAAAGGGUGAUCUCUUCUGUCCAAAAUAAGUUAACCACUAACUCCAGUAGCAGAGGAUGGCAGGCAUGUGUUACAAAGGUCAGUCAAUGGACACUGAAGUUCUCCAAGAUGAACUUAAUGUCUGGGUUUCUCAGAAGAGUUUAUGGGAGCUCAGUGUUAAGCUCCCUCUGACAUUCAGUGAGAAUUGGGUGCCGAGGGCCCAAAUCCUCAAAGCAAAGAAGUGAGAGAGCUGCUGCAGAAGACUUGAAGCCUGGAGCAGGCUUGCUAAAUGAGCCAGCGAGAGAUAUCUGGGGAAGGUUCCUCACAGGAGAGCUGAAGUGGUUUUGGAGUGGGGGGUAGGGAAGUCUGAUUCUGAGAAGCUGCCAGGGACUCAGCUGUGAGCAAGGCAGCUGCAAGCCAAACCCAGCAUGGGUCACCUCAAAAGAAGUGAUAUGAGAGACUCUGUGAAGAAAUCUUUUUUGCCCACCCAGGCUCUGAGGUAAGAGCCAUGCCCUGGGACAGGCUUUUUGGGACUCUGAAUGAUUGGGGAAUUUCUCCUUUUAAGUUUGUUUUUGGGUCCCCUUCUCCCUCCCUAAGGGAGGGACCCAAACAGGCUCUGUGUUGAUGAAACAAACCUUCCUUGUCAUUUUUUUUGGAUUCUUAUUACGGAAAACCAUCUCCAUAGACUCUUCUGGGAGGGGAGGUGGUAGGGUUGAGUGGGGAGGAUACCCCUCUGUCAGCCUCUUACAAGCCCCUGUUGGUUUCAAUAUGAGUUAGGUGCCUAAAUGCCCCUGAAGGAUCUGGGCCUAACUCUUUGCAAUUCCCGCCAAAACUCUUUACAUGGGAUCUCUUCCACCCCUGAAUGAGGGGGACACUGUCAAUGGGACUUUUAGAUUGUAAUGAUGGGCUAACCUCAAAAGAGCUGGAGGCUGGAAUAGAAGCCAAACUUAUGCAGGAAAAAGAG